rnacentral:rRNA from 1 species
GAUGAACGCUGGCGGCGUGCCUAAUACAUGCAAGUCGAGCGAACAGACGAGGAGCUUUCUCCCUUGACGUUAGCGGCGCGCGGGGGAGUAACACGUGGAUAACCUACCUAUAAGACUGGGAUAACUUCGGGAAACCGGAGCUAAUACCGGCUAAUCUAUUGAAGCGCAUGGUUCGAUAGUGAAAGACGGCUUUGCUGUCACUUUUAGAUGGAUCCGCGCCGCAUUAGCUAGUUGGUAAGGUAACGGCUUACCAAGGCGACGAUGCGUAGCCGACCUGAGAGGAUGAUCGGCCACACUGGAACUGAGACACGGUCCAGACUCCUACGGGAGGCAGCAGUAGGGAAUCUUGCGCAAUGGGCGAAAGCCUGACGGAGCAAUGCCGCGUGAGUGAUGAAGGUCUUCGGAUCGUAAAACUCUGUUAUUGGGGAAGAACAAAUUUGUGAGUAACUCUGGACGUCUUGACGGUACCUAAUGAGAAAGCCACGGCUAACUACGUG